rnacentral:rRNA from 1 species
GAUGAACGCUGGCGGCGUGCCUAAUACAUGCAAGUCGAACGCAUAGCGAAAGGUUCUUGCACCUUUCACGUGAGUGGCGAACGGGUGAGUAACACGUGGACAACCUGCCUCAAGGCUGGGGAUAACAUUUGGAAACAGAUGCUAAUACCGAAUAAAACUUAGUGUCGCAUGACACAAAGUUAAAAGGCGCUUCGGCGUCACCUAGAGAUGGAUCCGCGGUGCAUUAGUUAGUUGGUGGGGUAAAGGCCUACCAAGACAAUGAUGCAUAGCCGAGUUGAGAGACUGAUCGGCCACAUUGGGACUGAGACACGGCCCAAACUCCUACGGGAGGCUGCAGUAGGGAAUAUUCCACAAUGGGCGAAAGCCUGAUGGAGCAACGCCGCGUGUGUGAUGAAGGCUUUCGGGUCGUAAAGCACUGUUGUAUGGGAAGAACAGCUAGAAUAGGAAAUGAUUUUAGUUUGACGGUACCAUACCAGAAAGGGACGGCUAAAUACGUG